GCUUCUUGUGAUGUAGUGGUUUUAAUGUUGGACUACGACACUGGAGACCAGGGUUCGAAUCCCUGCAGAGCC